UAAGGAAUAUUGGUCAAUGGACGCAAGUCUGAACCAGCCAUGCCGCGUGGAGGAUGAAGGUCCUCUGGAUUGUAAACUUCUUUUAUCUGGGACGAAAAAGGGAGAUUCUUCUCCAACUGACGGUACCAGAUGAAUAAGCACCGGCUAACUCCGUGCCAGCAGCCGCGGUAAUACGGAGGGUGCAAGCGUUAUCCGGAUUCACUGGGUUUAAAGGGUGCGUAGGCGGGUAUGUAAGUCAGUGGUGAAAUCCCCGAGCUUAACUCGGGAACUGCCAUUGAUACUAUAUAUCUUGAAUAUCCUGGAGGUCUGCGGAAUAUGUCAUGUAGCGGUGAAAUGCUUAGAGAUGACAUAGAACAUCGAUUGCGAAGGCAGCAGGCUACGGGAUGAUUGACGCUGAGGCACGAAAGCGUGGGGAUCAAACAGGAUUAGAUACCCCCGUAGUCC
rnacentral:rRNA from 1 species